GCUGCGGCAGGCCUAACACAUGCAAGUCGAGCGGUAGAGAGAAGCUUGCUUCUCUUGAGAGCGGCGGACGGGUGAGUAAUGCCUAGGAAUCUGCCUGGUAGUGGGGGAUAACGUCCGGAAACGGACGCUAAUACCGCAUACGUCCUACGGGAGAAAGCAGGGGACCUUCGGGCCUUGCGCUAUCAGAUGAGCCUAGGUCGGAUUAGCUAGUUGGUGGGGUAAUGGCUCACCAAGGCGACGAUCCGUAACUGGUCUGAGAGGAUGAUCAGUCACACUGGAACUGAGACACGGUCCAGACUCCUACGGGAGGCAGCAGUGGGGAAUAUUGGACAAUGGGCGAAAGCCUGAUCCAGCCAUGCCGCGUGUGUGAAGAAGGUCUUCGGAUUGUAAAGCACUUUAAGUUGGGAGGAAGGGCAGUAAAUUAAUACUUUGCUGNUUUGACGUUACCGACAGAAUAAGCACCGGCUAACUCUUGUGCCAGCAGCCGCGGUAAU
rnacentral:rRNA from 1 species